CCUACGGGAGGCAGCAGUGAGGAAUAUUGGUCAAUGGGGGAAACCCUGAUGCAGCGACGCCGCGUGAGUGAAGAAGGAUUUCGGUAUGUAAAGCUCUAUCAGCAGGGAAGAAAAAAGAAGGUACCUGACUAAGAAGCCUCGGCGAACUACGGGCCAGCAGCCGCGGUAAACAGAAGGGGGCAAGCGUUAUCCGGAUGUACUGGGGGGAAAGGGAGCGUAGACGGCAAUACAAGUCGGAAGUGAAAUCCCUGGGCUCAACCUGGGAACUGCUUUUGAAACUGUAUGGCUAGAGUGCUGGAGAGGUAAGCGGAAUUCCUAGUGUAGCGGUGAAAUGCGUAGAUAUUAGGAGGAACACCAGUGGCGAAGGCGGCUUACUGGACAGUAACUGACGUUGAGGCUCGAAAGCGUGGGGAGCAAACAGGAUUAGAUACCCUUGUAGUC
rnacentral:rRNA from 1 species